AAAACUAGAAGAGACCCACACGGCCACACCAUUCCCCACUCUCUCUCUGUCUUAUCUCAUUCGUCUAGAGAAGCUUGGCCACUGUUUUCCCCAAUCCACAACACUGCUCCGGCCGAGCGAAAUCCAGGUACACUGCGCUGCUCCGGCCAAAUGCGCUCGCCCCGAACUGCUCUGGCGAUGCCCUCCCUCUAUAUCCCUGCCUCUCUGCGCGCUGCUUCUUAUCCAUCCCCGUGCGGCCGUGCCCCAUGGCUUCUACCGGCAGCUGCAAGGGAUGGCCGGAGAGCGCACUACUGCGGGAGCCGAUCGAAUACGCCGCUGCUGCACCGCCUCACGUCUCUGCUAGUAGCAGGGAGACGACGAACUACACAAGCAGCAGAGCAACGAGCGAGAUCGACGAGCCUGACGACAACGGCAAGCUGGAGUCUCCCCCGACGAGCUCGACGAGGAAUAGGACGACGGCGAUGUCUCGGAGCAGCACGGUCGACCUCGGCGCCCUCCUGCCCGGCGUAGCCCCACUAGCAAAACCCAAGAUGCUGUCCAACCAAGUUUGUGUAUCCACAUUGCUUCUGAUGGCAUUGAAAGCUUCUACAAAGGCUUCCUCUUCCUCAUACUUUUACAUGCAAGCGCUGAAAUCAGCAAGUACAUUUGGUCCCUCCUCGUCUUUUUUCUUAUGAGCUUCACCAUACAUCAAGUCCCUUUGACGCCUGGUUCGCAAGUGGUUCUUGCGAUCACGACAUGUGUAGCCAAGGUUCAGUGGACCACCAACUUGUCGACUUGCUAACUCAUGGGCUCUUUUAGGUACAAUUCCUGAAUCAUCUGCUGUUUCAAUUUCAAAUGCUUGCAAGGCCGAAAUCUUCCGUUGUGACGGCAUCAAGUGGCUUGUCCCAGGCACCCGUAUAUCAUCUACAACUCAAUAUAUCUUGUUCUUGUCCUAGCUACAAGGAGGACGAUCAGGACAAAAGUAAGAUAGAAGGGAAAUCAUCUACAACAGGCACACACAAACGUACCUUGGUCUUGUUCUCGCUAGGGAGGAUGAGUGGGAGGAACAAGGGAGACGAGCAGGAGGAGGCGCCGACGAAAUUGUCAACACGUUCUGAUUGGCCACAACGUUAGUUCAGCAGAAGCGAGAUCUCUACAACACGUUCAGAUCAGCAUACCUUGGUCUCAUUUUUUCUCCGAGGAGGACCAGGAGGAAGAGGACGAGUGGGAGGAUUUUGGCGCCAAGAAACUAUCAGCUCGUUCUGUUUGGCGCCAGCGUUUAUCUGUUUGGCUGCAAUUGUACAACCGUGGGAGAUUUUCCUCCGGACUAAUAGGGAUUUUUGUUCUAAUUAUUCAUAGAAUUAAGGGGGGAGAAA